rnacentral:rRNA from 1 species
UACGUAGGGUGCGAGCGUUGUCCGGAAUUAUUGGGCGUAAAGAGCUCGUAGGCGGCCUGUCGCGUCGGAUGUGAAAGCCCGGGGCUUAACCCCGGGUCUGCAUUCGAUACGGGCAGGCUAGAGUUCGGUAGGGGAGAUCGGAAUUCCUGGGUGUAGCGGUGAAAUGCGCAGAUAUCAGGAGGAACACCAGUGGCGAAGGCGGUGGUCUGGGCCGGUACUGACGCUGUAGAGCGAAAGCGUGGGAGCAAACAGG